rnacentral:rRNA from 1 species
UACGAAGGGGGCUAGCGUUGCUCGGAAUUACUGGGCGUAAAGCGCACGUAGGCGGUCUUUUAAGUCGGGGGUGAAAUCCUGGAGCUCAACUCCAGAACUGCCUUCGAUACUGGAAGACUCGAGUCCGGGAGAGGUGAGUGGAACUGCGAGUGUAGAGGUGAAAUUCGUAGAUAUUCGCAAGAACACCAGUGGCGAAGGCGGCUCACUGGCCCGGUACUGACGCUGAGGUGCGAAAGCGUGGGGAGCAAACAGG